GCAGCCAGAGGUUUAUCAGCAGGGCUCAGCAGUUCAGGUGAGUUUCCUUCCAGUAGGAAUGGGUCUAAGGCCACAAUGCCGGCCCGUUUAGCUAGCAGUAGUUUCGGAUGUUGAUCUGAUACAGUAGUUAGUAUGUUUGAUGCCUUCGUGGCUCAAACAGGAUUUAUGUGUUAUGUGUUCCGGGCUACGGCCCGAUGUAGUAUGCAGUAUAUGUGAGUUUAUGCCAGUUGAUAUGUUAUGAUAUGCUGUGUUCAGUUAACUUCGGACUUCGGUCCGAUGGAGGGGACAAGGUCCCAGACAGUUAGCUUCGGACUUCGGUCCGAUGUCAGCUUCGGACUUCGGUCCGAUGGAGGGGACAAGGUCCCAGAUAGUCAGCUUCGGACUUCGGUCCGAUGGAGGGGGCAAGGCCCUAGACAGUUAGCUUCGGACUUCGCCCUGAUGUCAGCUUUGGACUUCGGUCCGAUGGAGGGGACAAGGUCCCAGAUAGCCAGCUUCGGACUUCGGUCCGAUGGAGGGGGCAAGGCCCCAGUCAGUUAGCUUCGGACUUCGGUCCGAUGUCAGCUUCGGACUUCGGUUCGAUGUAGGGGCAAGGCUCCGUUAGUCCGGACUUCGGUCCAAUGCAGUGGGCAAGGCCCAAUAUGUGCUUUAUAUGUUUUUGUGCGAUAUGUGGUAGAUUGGGGGAGCUCACUAAGCUUCGUGCUUACGGUUUUCAGUUUUGGUUUCAGGUACUCGGUUUUCAAAAGAGGAGCUCGGGAAGAUUGCAGAGUACACACCAUAGUCAGUUAGCCUGGGAAUGUUUGACUCUGAUAAUGCUAUUAUGUUUUGAAUUUAAUACUCAAAAGUUAUGUUUGACUUAUGAUACGUUGUUUAUAAAUCCAUUUUUAGUAAUGUUUUAAAAGA
rnacentral:lncRNA from 1 species